rnacentral:rRNA from 1 species
CGUGUAGGCGGCCUCUUAAGUCUGGUGUGAAACGCCCGGGGCUUACCCCCGGAAGGGCACUGGAAACUGGGAGGCUGGAGUACCGGAGAGGAGGGUGGAAUUCCUGGUGUAGCGGUGAAAUGCGUAGAUAUCAGGAGGAACACCGGUGGCGAAGGCGGCCCUCUGGACGGAUACUGACGCUGAGACGCGAAAGCGUGGGGAGCAAACAGGAUUAGAUACCCUGGUAGUCCACGCUGUAAACGAUGGGCACUAGGUGUUCGGGGUAUUGACCCCCUGAGUGCCGCAGCUAACGCAUUAAGUGCCCCGCCUGGGGACUACGGCCGCAAGGUUAAA